GACUCGUUAGCUCAGUGGUUAGAGCGUUGGUAAAUAAAGACGGAGGUUCAGAUCCUUCACGAGUCA